GACGAACGCUGGCGGCGUGCUUAACACAUGCAAGUCGAACGGAAAGGCCCUGCUUUUGUUGGUUGCUCGAGUGGCGAACGGGUGAGUAACACGUGAGUAACCUGCCCUUGACUUUGGGAUAACUUCAGGAAACUGGGGCUAAUACCGGAUAGGAGCUCCUGCUGCAUGUUGGGGGUUGGAAAGUUUCGGCGGUUGGGGAUGGACUCGCGGCUUAUCAGCUUGUUGGUGUGGUAGUGGCUUACCAAGGCUUUGACGGGUAGCCGGCCUGAGAGGGUGACCGGCCACAUGGGGACUGAGAGACGGCCCAGAAGGCAACGGGAGGCAGCAGGGGGGAAUAUUGCACAGUGGGCGGAAGCCUGAUGCAGAAACGCCGCGUGCGGGAUGACGGCCUUCGGGUUGUAAACAGAUUUGGACUGUGACGAAGAGUGAGUGACGGUAAUGGGUAAAGAAGCACCGGCUAACUACGUG
rnacentral:rRNA from 1 species